rnacentral:ncRNA from 2 species
CUCGGACCAGGCUUCAUUCCCC